rnacentral:piRNA from 1 species
UCUCCUCUUGUUGAUAUCUUAGAUAUUAG